AAUAUUUCGCAAUGGAGGGCACUCUGACGCAGCGACUCCGCGUGAGCGAUGAAGGUUUUCGUAUCGUAAAGCUCUGUCCUUAGGGCAGAAGUUCUUCGGACUUGACCGUACCUCAUGAGGAAGCCCCGGCUAACUACGUGCCAGCAGCCGCGGUAAUGCGUAGGGGGCAAGAGUUGUCCGGAAUUAUUGGGAGUAAAGGGUGCGUAGGCGGCCCUUUAAGUAAGAUGUGAAAGCCCAAGGCUUAACCGUGGGACUGCAUUUGAAACUGGAGGGCUUGAGUGUCGGAGAGGGAAGUGGAAUUCCCAGUGUAGCGGUGGAAUGCGUAGAUAUUGGGAGGAACACCAGUGGCGAAGGCGACUACCUGGACGAAAACUGACGCUGAGGCACGAAAGCUAGGGGAGCAAAC
rnacentral:rRNA from 1 species